GACGUAGGAUGCGAGCGUUAUUCGGAUUUAUUGGGCGUAAAGCGUGCGUAGGCGGCUGUUUAAGUCUGGUGUUAAAGCUAGGGGCUCAACCCCUGUGGUGCAUCGGAUACUGGGCAGCUUGAGUGCGGUAGGGGAAGGUGGAAUUCCGAGUGUAGCGGUGAAAUGCGUAGAUAUCGGAAGGAACAUCAGUGGCGAAAGCGACUUCCUGGACCAAUACUGACGCCCAUGUGCGAAAGCGUGGGGAGCAAACAGG
rnacentral:rRNA from 1 species